UACCGCUUAGUUUAGUUGGUAGAGCGCGUCGUUAGAUGAUCUAAUUACGAGGUCAGUCGUUCAAUUCGGCUAGGAGGAA